AAUAUUCAGAUUUAAUUCAUAAACUUAAUAAGGCAUGCAAACUAGGAUUUUGGCAUCAAUGGAUUUCAGGAAAGUGCAGAAAUUUCAGCAAGUGCAGAAUUUCAGCAUAAUCAAUGUGCGUGUCCUAAUUAACCUGCUCUGAUACCAAAAAUGAUGCGGAAUGAAUGUGAGGUAUUUAAACAUAAGGAUUGUCAGUAAGUUAUGUUGAUUAACUAGCCUAAUAGCAGCAGAAAAUUCAGUCACAUAUGGG
rnacentral:lncRNA from 1 species